rnacentral:rRNA from 1 species
AAAGGAAUAGACGGGGGCCCGCACAAGCAGUGGAGUAUGUGGUUUAAUUCGAAGCAACGCGAAGAACCUUACCAGGGCUUGACAUCCAUAGAAUCCCGUGGAGACGCGGGAGUGCCGCAAGGAGCUAUGAGACAGGUGGUGCAUGGUUGUCGUCAGCUCGUGUCGUGAGAUGUUGGGUUAAGUCCCGCAACGAGCGCAACCCUUAUUGUCAGUUGCCAGCAUUAAGAUGGGAACUCUGACGAGACUGCCGGUGAUAAAUCGGAGGAAGGUGGGGAUGACGUCAAAUCAUCAUGCCCCUUAUGUCCUGGGCUACACACGUACUACAAUGGCUGUCAACAACGGGAAGCAAAGGCGCGAGCCGGAGCAAAUCCCCAAAAACAGUCCCAGUUCGGAUUGCAGGCUGAAACCCGCCUGCAUGAAGUUGGAAUUGCUAGUAAUCGCAGAUCAGCAUGCUGCGGUGAAUACGUUCCCGGGCCUUGUACACACCGCCCGU